AUUGAACGCUGGCGGCAUGCCUUACACAUGCAAGUCGAACGGUAACGGGUCCUUCGGGAUGCCGACGAGUGGCGAACGGGUGAGUAAUAUAUCGGAACGUGCCCAGUAGUGGGGGAUAACUGCUCGAAAGAGCAGCUAAUACCGCAUACGACCUGAGGGUGAAAGGGGGGGAUCGCAAGACCUCUCGCUAUUGGAGCGGCCGAUAUCAGAUUAGCUAGUUGGUGGGGUAAAGGCCUACCAAGGCAACGAUCUGUAGUUGGUCUGAGAGGACGACCAGCCACACUGGGACUGAGACACGGCCCAGACUCCUACGGGAGGCAGCAGUGGGGAAUUUUGGACAAUGGGCGCAAGCCUGAUCCAGCAAUGCCGCGUGCAGGAAGAAGGCCUUCGGGUUGUAAACUGCUUUUGUCAGGGAAGAAAUCUUCUGGGCUAAUACCCCGGGAGGAUGACGGUACCUGAAGAAUAAGCACCGGCUAACUACGUGCCAGCAGCCGCGGUAAUACGUAGGGUGCGAGCGUUAAUCGGAAUUACUGGGCGUAAAGCGUGCGCAGGCGGCUUUGCAAGACAGAUGUGAAAUCCCCGGGCUCAACCUGGGAACUGCAUUUGUGACUGCAAGGCUAGAGUACGGCAGAGGGGGAUGGAAUUCCGCGUGUAGCAGUGAAAUGCGUAGAUAUGCGGAGGAACACCAAUGGCGAAGGCAAUCCCCUGGGCCUGUACUGACGCUCAUGCACGAAAGCGUGGGGAGCAAACAGGAUUAGAUACCCUGGCAGUCCACGCCCUAAACGAUGUCAACUGGUUGUUGGACGGCUUGCUGUUCAGUAACGAAGCUAACGCGUGAAGUUGACCGCCUGGGGAGUACGGCCGCAAGGUUGAAACUCAAAGGGAUUGACGGGGACCCGCACAAGCGGUGGAUGAUGUGGUCUAAUUCGAUGCAACGCGAAAAACCUUACCUACCCUUGACAUGUCAAGAAUUCUGCAGAGAUGUGGAAGUGCUCGAAAGAGAACUUGAACACAGGUGCUGCAUGGCCGUCGUCAGCUCGUGUCGUGAGAUGUUGGGUUAAGUCCCGCAACGAGCGCAACCCUUGUCAUUAGUUGCUACGCAAGAGCACUCUAAUGAGACUGCCGGUGACAAACCGGAGGAAGGUGGGGAUGACGUCAGGUCCUCAUGGCCCUUAUGGGUAGGGCUACACACGUCAUACAAUGGCCGGUACAGAGGGCUGCCAACCCGCGAGGGGGAGCCAAUCCCAGAAAACCGGUCGUAGUCCGGAUCGUUGUCUGCAACUCGACUGCGUGAAGUCGGAAUCGCUAGUAAUCGCGGAUCAGCUUGCCGCGGUGAAUACGUUCCCGGGUCU
rnacentral:rRNA from 1 species